rnacentral:sRNA from 1 species
AAAUGCCGAGAUGCAUGCACUCACGAUCCCGUACGGAAUAGCAUCAGAGGGGAAAGUGUUUUGUACACCGCAGAUGCCCCUUUAAUAAGUAUAUCCAGAAUUUCAGGCAGCUGAUAAUGUGAUCCAUCUGAGGGCAGUGCGCCGCAAUUCUCACAAACUGUACAGAUUAAGCGGGACGCGGAUUGGAAGAACUGGAAGAUUGAAGGGUUUAUAUGGGCCAGCCAUUGCGCGAAGAAUAAUCAGUGGCAUUGAAGCGGAGGGCCGUUCCACUGUUUAGCAGUGUUGAAAUAGUGUCCUUCAGGACACCCGCCCGCUGAUGGCUCGAUGCCUACAUUUUGAGCAUCACAACAGAGAAAGAGGAGAAGGAAGGGAAAAGAAAAAGCAACCGUGGCGCAAAUCUGCUUCCUGCAUUUUGAGUGCAUAGCAAAAAAGGUUGGAUCAGAGGCUUGAGCCAGUCCUUGCAAUACGCAAGAAAUUCAAAUGGAAAUCUCAAUACCAGAGUCCUCACGGUGGAAGUUAUGGGGCCUGAUGCCUAACCUUGACAGCCAAGCUUUAGGCCUCAAGCCUCUAAACCGACCCCAACUGUUUAGUGGUCUUAGCAGCUGAUGUAUCCGUAUAAAUUUCUAGUCUGCGCAAGGACCUGUUCCAAGCUUUUGAAGUCCCCAUUGUUGAAAAAAGAAUCGGUAGUUGUUGCCAUCGGGCUCUUCGUCUACUACGUAGAAGCUACUGCUACAUGGUACAACAUCAUACGAUCCCCCAG